UAUGGAUAAGUAUGUCCGGUUAUAUUUAUAGUAAAUUUAUUAUAUUUGCCUUCCAAGCAAAA
rnacentral:tRNA from 1 species